rnacentral:rRNA from 1 species
CAGCAGCCGCGGGAAUACGUAGGGUGCGAGCGUUAAUCGGAAUUACUGGGCGUAAAGCGUGCGCAGGCGGUUCGUUAAGACAGAUGUGAAAUCCCCGGGCUUAACCUGGGAACUGCAUUUGUGACUGACGGGCUAGAGUAUGGCAGAGGGGGGUAGAAUUCCACGUGUAGCAGUGAAAUGCGUAGAGAUGUGGAGGAAUACCGAUGGCGAAGGCAGCCCCCUGGGCCAAUACUGACGCUCAUGCACGAAAGCGUGGGGAGCAAACAGGAUUAGAUACCCGCGUAGUCCCUGUCUCUUAUAC